GAGGGUAUAGCUCAAGUAGUAGAGCAUACGCUUAGCAUACACAAGGUUCUGGGUUCAAUCCCCAGUAUUUUCU
rfam:Camelus ferus unplaced genomic scaffold scaffold1058, whole genome shotgun sequence.